rnacentral:rRNA from 1 species
GCAAGUAUAUAAAGAAACUAUUAGGAAUAUCUAGCUAUAUAUCAAAAAGAGUUUUUUAACUAGUACAUCGAUGAGAGUCGAUGUACUUGAACUUUUGGAAAAAUCCUAUAAAUAAACGAAGUGAAUUGAAAUAUCUUAUUAGCUUCAGGAAUAGAAAUCAAACGAGAUUCUAUGAUUAGUGUGAAUGAAAGUAGAAAAGCCUAAAAGUAAAAUGGAUUAAAAUCUGUUUGAAUAAAGGGGAACCUUCCUCUAAGGCUAAAUAUGAUAUAUAAGCGACAGUGAACUAGUACCGAGAGGGAAAGAUUUGAAAUAGUAGUUUUAUAAGCAGCUCAAGUAAAGUUUAAAUAACAAAUGAGAGCGUACCUUUUGCAUAAUGGGUCAGCAAGUUAAUAUUAGAUGCGAGAAAAGCAUUUUUUCAUAUGUGUGAAAAAAGUAAGUCUUAUUCCUAGAUAAACCGAUUAUUAAAUAAUGAAUUAGUAUCUAAAAUUAGACCCGAAGCCUGGUGAUCUUACCAUGAUCAGGGUUAUAAAAGCCCGAACGGGUUAUCGUUGUAAAGAUAUCCGAAGAAUUGUGGUAAGUUAGUGAAAGACAAUACUGACCAGGAUAGCUGGUUUUCCGCGAAACCUAUAUAAGUAGGUAAUUCAAAUAACAUCAUAGCAGGUACAGAAUUGUGAUCUCAGACAAAUGGUAUUUAACGCUUCGCGCUAAAUACAUUUGUAUAUAUCGGGGGGUCGUGAAGACUUUAUCGGUGAGAAUUUGCUCUCGGAAGGGCAAUGAUGAAUAUUGAAUAAUCGGACAUAGUACGAUAAGGUUGUAUGUCCAAAGGGAAACAGCCCAGAACAAGUGUUUAAGGUUCCAAAAUUAUUGUUAAGUGAAAUUAAGGAAGUUUUUUUCAAAUACAACCAGGAAAUAGGCUUAGAAGCGGCCAUUUUUUAAAGACCUCGUAACAGAGCACUGGUUCAAUUAAUAAGUUAAAAGCACCGAAAAUUUAACGGAUCUAAACAAUAUACCGACACCUUGUCCAUAAGUAUUAAUAAAAUUAUAAUUGUAUUUAUGGGGUAGCGGAACGUUGGGCAAAUCAAAGAUGUAAUCUUUUUAAGAUUAUAUAAUUAUGGGCUUUUGUCUGAACACUUUUCUAGAUUCGGCCGGAAACGGAGGAAUCAAGAGGGUAAGUAAGCUAGUCCAUCGACCUUAGGUAGAACUUCUACCUUUGGCAGAUGAUAACCCAAGUGAGAAUGCUGACAUGAGUAACGAAAAAGGGAAUAAUUACCCCCUCGCCUUAAGCUUAUGGUAUUUAUAUAAAGUAACGGCCUCUAAGUUUAUAGACCUGCCCUAAAGGACUAAACGAUGAGAAAAGCUUUUAUGCAGAAUUAACCCGCGGUAGAGUACCGUUGGUUCUGGAAAAAUCUGCAAAUUAUCGAAACCGUACCUAGAUACUACCCCUGUCCAAGUAAGCUAGUAGAGUAUACGAAGGCGUUUGAGCUAACAAUCAUUAAGGAACUCGGCAAAAUGACACCGUAACUUCGGGAUAAGGUGUGCCAUUCUUCCAUCGCCCGGCUUCCGGACGAUGGUUAAGAAUAGGAGGCAUAGAAUGGUGUUGUACGACUGUUUAAUUAAAACAAAGCACUUUGCGUAAGAUGACAAAUCAAAGUAUUGAGUGUGAAUUCUGCCCAAUGUUGGCUGGUUAACGGAUUUACUUAGCUGACUAAAAUAAGCUAGGAUUUGAAGGAACCCCCAAUCAAUGGCGGCCUUACCGAUGAGGGUCCUAAGGUAGCGGAAUACCUUGGCCGUUAAAUGCGGUCUUGCAUGAAUGAUUUAACGAUACAACAGCUGUCUCAAUGAUUGGCUCAGUGAAAUUGGAAUAACUGUGCAGAUACAGUUUACCUCUAGUUAGACGAGAAGACCCUAUGCAGCUUUACUGUUGCUAGUUAUUGGAUAUGAUCAAACGAGUUGUAGUGUAUAAGGUAGUUGGUGAGAUACAAUUGAAACACCUUUACUUAGUUUAUCAUAUCAGUAGAAUACCGCGAAAGCUUUACAAACUACUUCGACCAAUGAAAAUUGGUCGAUGGAAGAGUAAGUGAGUAGGUAAAAUCUACAUUACUUAUCCAAAAAGGAAGAGGGGUUUAAUGGUUUUUACCAUUUAACCCGGGAAACAGUUGCUAGUAGACGGUUUAUGCGGGGCACAGAUCCCAUAAAAAGUACCUGGGUGUAUCCAAAGUUAAUUUUGUAAAUUUACUCGGUAACGCAAUUUUCUUGCGUUACCGAGUAAUUAAACAUGUAUAGGCUAGAAUUAUUAAGAUUCUUUCCUAGCGUGUUUUCUUAUUUUACUUUGUUAUAUUUUAUUAUUAAAGAUAAUUUAUUCAG